GCCGACCGUUCCGCAGAGCCCGCCUCCUGCCAGGGUGGUGCUGGGCCGUGCCCGGGCUGCUGCCGCUGGCGCUCGGAACCAGCGUGUCAGGCGUUGCCCGGGCAGCUAUGACGGUGCGACGGGGUCCUGGCAGAGGAAUCGUUUCCAUGGGGACGCGUGUAAACAGCGGGUGCGCGGCCAUGGGGGCGGGCCGUUCUCUGCCGAGCAGGACUGCUCCUGAAUCUUCCUCAGAGACUCCAGAUUGCCAGACGUGCACCAACAGUAGGAUAUACAUCCUGUCUGAGGAACAGAAGAACCCAGUGUGGUCAGUCCUGUCUCAGAAGAGUUUCAGGGUUCAGCCCUUGUCUUUCCUAGGCAGUUGUACUGAUUCGGGAUUUUGGCUCUUUGUGGUGAGUUUGUAGUGCCAGCUACAGCAAAAAGAUUCUCUCCUUUCAAUCAUUAAGCUUUCGACUAAAGGCCCUUCGUCCAUAUGGCCUGCAUUUGCAGCUGGACAGACAGUGCUAAGGAAUCACAAACCCUGCUGCACCCCAAAGGAGAGACAGUCUAGGUAAGCUCAGCCUGUACUACUGGUUAAGUUACCAGAAUUGCUGAAAGGUUUUUGAAAACUAAGACCUUACAAAGCAGAAUCUCCUCCAGUGUUAGAGAGAACAAUGAUGUUGGGUUACCCCACAAGCAUUCA
rnacentral:lncRNA from 1 species